rnacentral:rRNA from 1 species
UGCCUAACAGCUAGCCCACCCAAACAAUUUCAACAAACCCCUGUUAAUAACCCCUAAGUACCCCAGUAUUUAUUUUAAACAAACCAUUUUUCCCCCUUAGUAUAGGCGAUAGAAAAGGGCCUACGGCGCAAUAGAGAAAGUACCGCAAGGGAACGCUGAAAGAGAAGUGAAACAACCCAGUAAAGCCUAAAAAAGCAGAGAUCUAAACUCGUACCUUUUGCAUCAUGAUUUAGCAAGUGUAACCCAAGCAAAGCGUACUUUAGUUUGACGUCCCGAAACUAGGUGAGCUACUCCAAGACAGCCUAUCAAUAGGGCGUACCCGUCUCUGUGGCAAAAGAGUGGGGAGAGCUUUGAGUAGAGGUGACAAACCUACCGAACCUAGUUAUAGCUGGUUGUCCAAGAAAUGAAUAGAAGUUCAGCCUUUCAGCUUCUCUUUUCACCUUAGCCUGACCCCUAUUGAUGUAUUAAAGAAACCGAAAGAGUUAGUCAAAGGGGGUACAGCUCCUUUGAAUCAAGACACAACUUUCCCAGGAGGGUAAAGAUCAUAAUAAUUAAAGCUAAAUGUUCUGGUGGGCCUAAAAGCAGCCAUCCCCUUAGAAAGCGUUAAAGCUCAGACAUGCGACCAUACUUCUUAUCCUGAUCACCCAAUCUUAUCCCCCUAACCGUACUGGACCAUCCCAUGCCAACAUGGGAGUGACUAUGCUGAAAUGAGUAAUAAGAGAGCUAUCGGCUCUCUCCCUGCACACAUGUACAUCGGAACGGACAACCCACCGAACCUUAACGGCCCCAAAUAAAGAGGGCAGUGGAUGUUAGACCAAAAAACUAGAAAACUAUCCAAAAACCAACCGUUAAACCCACACAGGUGUGCCCCCAGGGAAAGACUAAA